rnacentral:lncRNA from 13 species
AAGCUGAAGAUUGACCUGAGGAAAGGUACCGAGGGGCUGGGUUUCACCGUGGUGACUCGACAGUCCAUGGCCCGGGGCCCAUCCUGAUCAAGAGCAUCCUUGCCCGUGGCGCCGCCAUCUAAGAUGGCCGCCUGCAGCCUGGCGACCGCAUCCUGGAGGUGAACGGUGUAGACCUGAUGGAUCGAAGUCAGGAGGAGCUGGUGGCCAUGCUGCGCAGCACCAAGCAGUGUGUCUCUGUGGUUGUGGCCAGACAAGAGGAGAUCUUCCUACCCAGAGAGCUAGUGAGAACAGACACCUUUAUCUCUCUCUAGCCACCUUCAAUUGCUC